GAAAUGCGAUAAGUAAUGUGAAUUGCAGAAUCUCGUGAAUCAUUGAAUCUUUGAACGCACAUUGCGCCCUAUGGUAUUCCGUAGGGCAUGCCUGUCUGAGCGUCAUUACGCACCCUCAAGCCCGGCUUGUGUGAUGGGCCCUGGCGUCUCGUUCGCGAGACGGGCCCGAAAGGCAGCGGCGGCGUCGACCCGAUGAGCCCGAGCGUAUGGGGACUUUUGUCACACGUUUGCGGUGCGGACCGGCGCCUGCUUGACUUUUCUGAUUAUCCAGGUUGACCUCGGAUCAGGUAGGGAUACCCGCUGAACUUAAGC
rnacentral:misc_RNA from 1 species